UCACUGAAAGGCUACUUGCUGUUGCCCUGCUGAAGCUGAGAAGAGGUCUGCUGCCUGCCAAGUGCCCAUGUCUGUCAAGUUGUUGCAGUAUUGUUGCCCGCAAACAUGUGGAGACGAGAUUUCUUAAACAUGGCCAUGGCCCUCAAGAAAGUAGCCGAGACCAGAGCCUGCGGAUGUUCAUUCCUGUUCUGGCAAAGAUAGGCCAGCCUUAACCAGCUGGGUUUUCCAAAGCGAACUCAUCGCAGCUUGAGUCGCCCCAUGUCACAAGCAGUUGUUCCUACAGGGACCGUGAAAAGGUUUUCUGGAGCACAAGUCUAACUCGGUGCCACCACCCUUCUACUGCAGUUUGUUUACCUACUCUGCUAACCAGCAGCAAGUUUAUCCUUGCAAGGCAUGUGGGAUCAAGAACAACUUUCACCAGGAAAGAGUGCAAGACAAGUGGUUGAACAAAAUAAAGUUGUUUCUAUGUUCUA
rnacentral:lncRNA from 1 species